rnacentral:tRNA from 2 species
GGGGAUGUAGCUCAGUUGGGAGAGCGCCGGCUUUGCAAGCCGGAGGUCGUCGGUUCGAUCCCGAUCAUCUCCACCA